CAAAGUGAAGCAGCCUCGUGAGAGUGAGCCAACCACAAAAAAACCGUACCCAGUUCGGAUUGUAGUCUGCAACCCGACUACAUGAAGCUGGAAUCGCUAGUAAUCGCAGAUCAGAAUGCUGCGGUGAAUACGUUCCCGGGUCUUGUACACACCGCCCGUCACACCAUGGGAGUCGGAAAUGCCCGAAGCCAGUGACCCAACCUUAAGGAGGGAGCUGUCGAAGGUGGAGCCGAUAACUGGGGUGAAGUCGUAACAAGGUACC
rnacentral:rRNA from 1 species